rnacentral:rRNA from 1 species
UGCCUACGGGAGGCUGCAGUGGGGAAUCUUGCACAAUGGGGGAAACCCUGAUGCAGCGACGCCGCGUGAGCGAUGAAGCCCUUCGGGGUGUAAAGCUCUUUCGACGGGAACGAUUAUGACGGUACCCGGAGAAGAAGCUGCGGCUAACUACGUGCCAGCAGCCGCGGUAAUACGUAGGCAGCAAGCGUUGUUCGGAGUUACUGGGCGUAAAGAGUACGUAGGCGGUUUGCUAAGUCUGGUGUGAAAUCUCCUGGCUUAACUGGGAGGGUGCGCUAGAUACUGGCAGGCUUGAGUAUGGGAGAGGAGAGUGGAAUUCCUGGUGUAGCGGUGAAAUGCGUAGAUAUCAGGAGGAACGCCGGUGGUGUAGACGGCUCUCUGGACCAUUACUGACGCUGAGGUACGAAAGCGUGGGUAGCAAACAGGAUUAGAUACCCUGGUAGUC